rnacentral:rRNA from 1 species
GACAGAGGGGGCAAGCGUUGUCCGGAAUUACUGGGCGUACAGCGCACGCAGGCGGUUGGGCAAGUGUGGUGUGAAAGCCCCGCGCUUAACGCGGGGAGGCCAGCACAGACUGCCCGACUUGAGGAAUGCAGAGGGUGGUAGAAUUGCCGGUGUAGUGGUGAAAUGCGUAGAGAUCGGCAGGGAUACCGAAGCCGAAGGGAGCCACCUGUGCAUUAUCUGACGCUCAUGUGCGACAGCGUGGGGAGCCAACCGG